CCCCUAGGUGAUAAGGAUUUAAUCUUGUCUAUUUUGAAUGGUCUGGAUCAUGAAUAUGACACUGUAGUAAGCUUGAUCACUUAUCAGAUGGAUGAGAUCAAUCUAGA